UCAUUCACUGCUUUAAGUAUGUGUCAGUUUCACAUUCUCAUGCAGUUUAUCUUCUAACUUGGCAGACGAGAUGGCAAAACAAUCAGGAUUCCAGACUAAUGGAACAGGAAGACAUUUAUUAUGGACAACUUUGGCAGUGGGAAAGACAGCAGCAGAGUAUCUGGGAGCUGUCGUGGACACCUCUACCUCUGCGUUUCUGCUGGUGUGAAUGUAGCAAGAUUCCUGCAGCUGACCGCAGCUCUUCCGAUGACAGGUCACACCUGGGAGAGCUGCAGCCUGCCCUGGGCUAUGAGAGGCUGUUGACAGCUUGAUUGGAGCUAUCUGUGGUGAGGACUGGAUCUGGUGGAGGGUGUUAAAGGCAAUGGGUGAUGCAGAAACCUGUCAGCAGUACAGAGGUUUGUG
ensembl:lncRNA